rnacentral:lncRNA from 1 species
GCCCCCCAAAGAAACUGCACCCCCAUAACUCCCCCCCCACACACACACAAAGUUAAGGGCACCACACCUGCCUUCCCCAGAUGGGGCUCCCUGUGCGAACGCCUCCUCGUCCUCCAGGAUUUUCCAGCGCGGGCUCAAGCUCCUCCCUCGCCGGAGCGGGGCUGCUGUCCUCCAGCCAAGCGCCAGCCAGAGCAGCGGCUGGGGGGCGGCGGGGAGUGGGCCCCGCUCGCAGCCAUUGGCUGUGCGGGCCGCAGGGGCGGAGGGAGACCCGCGGUCCCGCCGACUCGGCGGCCCCGGCUUCACUCCAGCUGCGCCCGCCGCCCGCCCGUGCGCUCCGGCAGCUCACCGCACGCUGCGCCUGACUUCCCCGCGGACGGCUUCGCGGGCGCGGAUCGCAGAGACCCGGGGGCCUGCGAGGAGCUUGGCGCCGCCCUAGUCCCACCCGGGGUGCCGGAGCGCGGCCGGGGAGGUCGGAGCGUCCCGACCCGCAGGGCCAAUGGACACCUGAUCCCCUGCUGCCUUUGUUUGAAAUCCAAGAAGUUUCCUUGUGCUGAUUUAACUGCCUGCAGUCUUUUCUAUCAUAAAAAACAAAACAAAACAAAACAAUGCUGAUUCUGUCCAUUUUAACCCCUGUGUGAAACUGACUUUUAACAUACUUGUGCGU